UGGCCAUAUAUAAUUGAAACACCGGUUUUUGUAUGAUCACCAAAGUUAAGUGAUGUCAAGCCUGGUUAGUACCUAGAUGAGUAACCAUUUGUGAAUACCAGGUGCUGUAAG